UGAUGUGUUACUCAUAUGGA
rnacentral:siRNA from 1 species